rnacentral:rRNA from 1 species
CACGAAGGGGGCUAGCGUUGUUCGGAAUUACUGGGCGUAAAGCGCACGUAGGCGGAUACUUAAGUCAGGGGUGAAAUCCCGGGGCUCAACCCCGGAACUGCCUUUGAUACUGGGUAUCUCGAGUCCGGAAGAGGUGAGUGGAAUUCCGAGUGUAGAGGUGAAAUUCGUAGAUAUUCGGAGGAACACCAGUGGCGAAGGCGGCUCACUGGUCCGGUACUGACGCUGAGGUGCGAAAGCGUGGGGAGCAAACAGGG